rnacentral:lncRNA from 1 species
AAACAUUUUCAAGAAAGUUUGAAAAACUCAUAUUUUUUAAAGCUUUCUAAUUUUUGAAUUUCAAUCUUGUAAUUCAAAGUUGAAUAUCAUCUUCAAUAUCUUGUACUUCAAUUCGUUUAUUUAAAAUAAAAUUAUCAUAUCUUAAUUUCUAAGUCCUAUAUAUAUAUAUGGCGGCUAAGUGAGAGAUAUAUAUAUACAGCACACACGACAGAGAAUUGAGAUAGAUAACAUACACAAGCGGUUGGACAAAAACGGCAUUUAGAAAAGCAGUAGGGAAGAAGACGGCAACUUCAAUUGGGAGAAUAAAUCACUUUUCGUCAAAUUUUGGUGAUGUCGUUCCACUUUUAUUUGUUUAAUUCCGAUAUUAUGUUAGGCUAAAUUAUUUUUGUGCAUGGAUUAUAUCAACCUUAUAUCAUGAAUCUUUAAUUCUUGAUUUUUUUUUGUUUUUUGUUUUUUGUUUUGUUUUGAUUUUUUUUUUUUUUUUGACAUUCGAAACAUGUUUUAAAUUUUUGAAUGAUUGAUAUGAAUUUAUUUUUAUCUACAAUUACUUGAUCACUAAUUGUAUGAAUGUUGUGUCUUGUUUUACCUUCGAAAGAUGGAAAAUAAGUUAGACACAAUGUCAAUUAUCAUAGAAUCCGAUAGGGAAUAGAAAUAUCCCACUAUACUUUACAUGAUAUUUAAGUAUUCACAAAUCCAUUAGUACAUUUUUAUAUGUUCACAGCCGUUACAAAAAUAUAGUAAAGUCACAUGUAAAAGUAUGUUUAAUUCUACUUGAGAUUUUUAUAUGUUCGUAGCCGUUACAAAAGUAUUCGCAAAAGGUUUUGAUUUCUAUGUUUCAUUUGAAUUGUCCUAGGAACCAUAAACUUCCUCAUCCUAUUGUCAAUGGCUUUAUCCAAACCUAAGGUAGUCUUGAUUAUCUCAGGAUAUUCAGUCAUGUUGUUAAACGUGAUUGUGUAAGAAUAUAAAUAAUCAUGACGCAAUUUUGAAAAUGGUGAACUUGCUGAGAUUGUGUAAUAUGUCUGCGUCCCAUGGUUUUGUGAGUUCUAAGUUUCCCAUCUUGAUUCGUGCUUUGCUUUAAAGGAUUUGGGUGCUUUAGUUAUUUCCCGCUCCUUGAGUUCCAAAUCUUGGCUUCAUCAUUGUCAAUGUAAGUAUCUUUUUGAUACGUUAGCUAGAGCUCUCAAUUAUCCUUGUCGAUAUCUUGUGCUUCACUUAUGCUCUUCAGACGUUGCUCUUUGUUAACGAUGUUAAUCUUUCACAUCUUACUCAAUAUAGGUGUCUCGCUGGAGAUAUGCUCCAUCAUUACUCUCCCAAGAUGGAAGUUGUACACACAUGUUUGGCUUAUAUUAUUUAUUUAUUUAUUUAUUUUUUGUAUCAAGUGUCAUAUUAUUGAAAUGAGCUGCUUCUUUCAUUGAAGCAAGGCCAAACAUGCCUUUAGUAUUUUAGACAAGUAGAGGAGCUAUAUGCAUUCAUUUCUUUUUUGUAGUUGGCCAUUGACAUCCAUUCAACGUCAACGAAAAGAUAAAACGAAAGUAAGGUUAAAUUGCAGUAGCCGUCUUUAAUCUUGAAAUACUGGGAUGGCCAAAUAUCAUUCCACAUUGUACAUCAAUAACCUUGAUUUAUUCGGAUAAAUGAUCGGAUUGUUUGCCCCAU